AUUGAACGCUGGCGGCAGGCCUAACACAUGCAAGUCGAGCGAGCGGCGGACGGGUGAGUAAUGUCUGGGGAACUGCCCGAUAGAGGGGGAUAACUACUGGAAACGGUAGCUAAUACCGCAUACCAUCAGAUGUACCCAGAUGGGAUUAGCUAGUAGGUGAGGUAACGGCUCACCUAGGCGACGAUCCCUAGCUGGUCUGAGAGGAUGAUCAGCCACACUGGAACUGAGACACGGCCCAGACUCCUACGGGAGGCAGCAGUGGGGAAUAUUGCACAAUGGGCGCAAGCCUGAUGCAGCCAUGCCGCGUGUGUGAAGAAGGCCUUAGGGUUGUAAAGCACUUUCAGUGGGGAGGCGGUACCGGCAGAAGAAGCACCGGCUAACUCCGUGCCAGCAGCCGCGGUAAUAC
rnacentral:rRNA from 1 species